rnacentral:lncRNA from 1 species
UUAUUGAAUUCCUCCUAUGUGCCAGACAGAUAACACUCAAUGUAUGUUAAUUCCCCUCCUGGUAAAAUGGACUUGGUGUCUAUCUAACUUCACUGGAACUCUAAAAGGAGCCAAUUAUCCUGCCCUCUCCCCAGGCGUCUGAUAGAACUCAGCGUGUCCAUCAUAGCUAUAGGAAUAUCACUAGCAGGCAAGGCUAGCUGAAUUAGACCAGCAGUGUUUAAAGUUUAGCAAGAAAGCUUUCUGCAAAUGUCAACACUACCGCUCCAUUCCCAGCAAACCAGUGUCCCAAUCAGCAGGGCUGCCGAUUCCAGUUUAUUGAGUAAUGCUGUAGAGAAGUCCUGAGGACACAAUCAGAUUCUCUAGAUGAGGGAUACCAGAAGGCAGAAGGUGGGGGACAACCAUCAUGGCUGCCUAUUACGUGCAGCGUACAGGACUUGCGACUUCAAUUAUGUCACCUCUGAUCCUCAUGAAGACGCUGAUGGAGGGAGAGAAGCCGGAACCCUGAAAUGCAGUCUUGGAAGUCUCACUCGUGGAGCGGACAUGCUGCCUGGGACUCUUUCCCAAUUGGGACUUCAGACGUGCUGUGACACAGGACUUCCCAGUGAUGUUUGAGUCUGGAUGUUGGUCAAAACCCAAUUUGUUUGGUGCUGCACUCCCAGAACUGCCUCACUGAAGAUUGGCUGUCGGAUCGAUCCACACAGCAUGGCUUCUGAAGGCUUGUUUCCAGUCUAAGAAUUCUGAGCUGAGGGAUGUUCUUUCUCCCUGACAGCCUCCCCUGAGCCCGGAAGAGGAGAGCUAUACAAAGUACGUUCCUCCGCCUGUCUUCCCAAGCUGCACAGAUGCUCUAUUUGCAGUUCUGUGAAUUGCACUGAGUUGGGACC